rnacentral:rRNA from 1 species
UACGAAGGGGGCUAGCGUUGCUCGGAAUCACUGGGCGUAAAGGGCGCGUAGGCGGCGCGGGAAGUCAUCGGUGAAAGUUCAGGGCUCAACUCUGAAUCGGCCGGUGAUACUCUCGUGCUCGAGCACUGUAGAGGCAGGUGGAAUUCCGGGUGGAGUGGAUGAAAUGCGUAGAGAUCCGGAGGAACACCGAAGGCGAAGGCAGUGUGCCUGGGGAGUACCUGACGCUCAGGUGACGAAAGGCGUAGGGGGAGCGAAACGGG